rnacentral:misc_RNA from 1 species
UGCUACUGAAAAGUGGGGGCGGAAUGUAUUUGAAUAUCCGCAACCUACAUUCCAGAAAUUAAUGAAAGAGCACUGCAUGGAGCCUUUUUUUGUAUUUCAGGUCUUCUGUGUAGGACUCUGGUGUUUGGAUGAGUAUUGGUAUUACAGUUUGUUCACUUUGUUCAUGCUGUUUAUGUUUGAGUCAACAAUGGCAAAAAGUAGGUUGAAGACUCUAAGUGAGUUAAGGCGUGUUAGAGUUGAUAGCCAGAUCCUUAU